rnacentral:ncRNA from 16 species
CUUGAUGAUGAACUUCACGGUACCCUGAGUUCUAAAAACGAUGAUGAGCCCCCUCUCGUCUGAUU